rnacentral:lncRNA from 1 species
AAACACUGAAAGCACAGUCAAGGAAUGAGCGUGUGCAUUCCAGGUGUUUGGUUUGCUUGGCAGAAAACAAAUUGAGGACAAACAAUCUGCGAAGAAAGCUCACAUGGGCUAAUUCUUAUAUAAGUUUUUCAGAAGAUAAUUGCAGGAGAAACGUAUUAGUUAGAAAGGAUAAUUUCAUGCUCAAUAUCGGUAAAUUCCAUACCUUUGUCUAUCUGGUGUUACUUCUCCCCCAUGGGGCAGAAGACAGGUUGUAAAUAAAUAAUGUAGUGCCUUUCCCUGAGUUUACAGAGGAAUAUCUUAGAGCACGUAUUUGAAGAGCAAGGUAAUAUGCCUUAACUGUAAACAAUCACAAAAGAGUAACUUAAAACAUGCACUUAAAAGCUCAAACCAUGUGAAUCCAUUAGGAAAAAAAAUGAAAAUGCAAUUUUCCUUUAAACUUCACUCAUCACUUAAUAUGCAUCUUUAAAACCAUUUUUCAUCUAUUUUAUCACCAUUUAUUUUCUGAAAAAAUAAUAUUUUCUCUUAAUCACUUAUUCCUAGGCAUCUGUUUGUUCUUAAGUGUGAAUCACUGGGUCCCCUAAAGAAACCUCACUGCUUCAAAUUAAGAUGGGUGGUGAGUGCAAAUAUGGAUUUAGAUAUGCCGUAGUAUUUUUUCCUUAUUUUUUUACUUAAUUAUAUAUCUUGUUGACACUUUAUAAAAGCCAAUGCUAUAGAAUGUGACAACCCUCCAAAUUUAUUUUACUUUUCUUUUCCAGUUAUUCAUGGACUGAUACAAUAUUUGUGACUCAAACCACAACUUUACAGUAUUUUCAAAACAAAUAUUGAUAUACAUACAAUUUCAGUGUACAUAUUCUUAGAAGUUUCAAUGUUUUAAUGGAUAGUCAGUACAUGUAGAGAAAGCAGGAACAAGCUAUCAUUUCUAUUAUGUGGCAAGUAUUUUAUACGUAACUCAUGAAGAAAAUAUUAAACUCACAAUGGUUAAUUAACUUUGCUAGGUGAGUAAGAGGCAGAGAUGGAAUUCAAAUUUAGAUCACCAUGAUGUCAAACCUACCCCCUUCCUAUGACACCGGGGGAGAGUGUGUCCCAAAGAUAUGUAAAAUCAGGAGCUGAUAGUCCGUGGCAUCAUUCGUGCCAUAAACGGCAACCACAAGUAUAGAUCUGUGAAGCAUGCAGACAAAUUUCCGUGUACUUUGCGGCAGUUUCAAAAAUUAAUUUCCAUGGCCUUCUUUGUCAUGGCUUCACUAUACCUACUUCCCUUAGCUCCUGAUUCUUAGUUAGAUGAUACCCAGAUGAGAUAAUUGAAUUCUCUGUUUUGUGUGGCCGUUACAUAUUACAGGGUAAUUCAUAUUACAAAGAAAAAAAUUAAGGAUGAAAUAACUUCUUUCAUUCUUCCUUCAACAAGAAUCCCUAAAUAUAUCAUAACAGAGAUAAUGUCACUGCUAUGACUACAGCCAAAAAGUAGAUAGGUAUGGACAUUACAUAGGCACACAAAGUCCCUUUCACACAGGAGGGAGUUUAUAAAUAUCAGGUAACAUUUACAGUACAAGACAAUAAAACAAAUUAUUUAUUUGAAAUCACAAUGCCACAUGUAGCUUUUGAUCAAACAUAAUCCAAAGGUAAACUCAAAAUCAGUAGAAGAAUACUGACUUUUCACUUAUCACUGUCCCUGCGCCUUCAGCAAAUAAUACUCACAAGGCUACAGAAAUCUUGGAUUUCUAUACAGAUAAGAAUUUUUGCCUGGAGAAACAAGGUAAUUCAGAGUGCAGAAAGAGCAAGCCAAGUGAAGUAAUUCCCGCAGAGCAGAACAAAUGGCACAAAUGACCUAAUCAAUACAGAAAUAAGUACAGAUUUCCUCCACAAAUGGCCACAUGGUAGCUUCCCUAACAAGUUCAGAAAAACAUCACACUCCUUUCAUGUAGAUCUUCUUUACCAUUUAUCGAUGUACCUCAUCAGGAAUACCUACAUUUUAGCUGUCAAUUCAAUAUAUUAGGUAAAUUUACCCAGUAAAAUAUAUAAGCCCAUUCAAGUUUGUAGGUCUGCUUCUGUCUCAAUGCUGUAAAUGCCUUGGCUAACAGUGCAAACUGUUUGAUCCCUGCUUAAGCCUAAGGAUCCAAUCAAUAAAUGAUGAAACAAGUGAUAUCUCCUCAUCCUUUCUUAAAACAUAAAAAACAGUCUAUUUUCACAGCUAGAUCAAAACAAUGAGGUAAUGUUUUCAGUGAUUUUUAGAAAAAUUGAUUUUAGAGCUCUCUUCUCUUGCUAGAUCCUUUGGGCAAAUCUUUUAUUAUACAAAUGGCCUUCUGCUGGAUAUAACCAUUGGUUUUAUCUGCAAAGUGAACAAGUCACAAGUUUACUGUAAUUUUAUUUGAAAUCAUUCUUAGUUCUUAGAUAACAGUCCCAAAUUGCUCCUGGAAGGAUGCUAAGACUAAACUCUCUACAGUAUUACUAGACAAAUCUAGGAGACCUCUGUGAAUCACCACCAGAACUACAAUCUUACCCAAAGCUGAGUCACAUUAGUAGAUUAUAAAAUACUGCAUGGAAUCUUGUGUACACAUAGAAUUCUGAAUCACCUAUGAAUACCCACAUCUCUUUUUCAAAGUCUCUACUGCCCAUCCAAGCUUAUAAAAGGUCAAAUCCUGCUGUCUGUGCAAGGAGUGCCUUCUAGAAACAAUGACCUGCACUCUGUGUUCACAGAUGGCCUCUCCUCACAGAACCAUUGAUGUGGAAGCAUUCAUCAUAUAGAGUAUAGCUGUGUUGAAAACGGAUUCCAAUUAUGCCUGAACAAAAUAUCCAAGAUAACUGCCACAUCAUGAAAACAUUCUCAACACUGGGAGGGGUUUUAUGGGGAUGCUUUAAUUAUGUGAGGCCUAUGCAAUCAAGAAAAAAUAGUGAUAAGGACAUAAGAAACUCCAAAACUAUGAUCACCAGAAAAAAAUGAGUACCAAGAAAUGAGAUAUUGUCUACCUAUCACUUUGGAUUUUUGUGAAACUCUCAAUUACUCAAUUCAUUGUUCAGAAAAGUUAAAAUGCAUUCAUCUCAUCCAAGUGCCUAUAAAAUCCUACACAUCAAGUUUUCCCAAGUAUUUAGCCUGAGACACAAUACAUAGAAAACUUCAAUAAAUACUUGAAAAAUAAGAAUGAAUAAAUGAGUGAUGGUAAUGAUAUCUGAUGCAAAGACAAGCCUUGUUAGCCGUCACCCAAGAACUCAGCUGGCUACUUAACUUGGCUUCCAUGGAAGUUCC